rnacentral:rRNA from 1 species
UACGGGGGGGGCAAGCGUUGUUCGGAAUUACUGGGCGUAAAGGGCUCGUAGGCGGCCAACUAAGUCAGACGUGAAAUCCCUCAGCUUAACUGGGGAACUGCGUCUGAUACUGGAUGGCUUGGAUUCGGGAGAGGAAUGCGGAAUUCCAGGUGUAGCGGUGAAAUGCGUAGAUAUCUGGAGGAACACCGGUGGCGAAGGCGACAUCCUGGACCGGUAUUGACGCUGAGGCGCGAAAGCCAGGGGAGCAAACGGG